GAAUGCACCAAUAAUGCUUCCAAAUGUCAAUUUGCAUUAAGCUCGCCCCAUUCCUUUGUCAUUUGUCGCGCGCCGCAAGCACUCGAUUGAAAAGCAGUGUUGAUAUAUAUAGAUUAUACCUAUAGGUAUAAUCAGAAUAAUAUAUAGGUAUAAUCUAUAUAUAUCAACACUGCUUUUCAAUCGAGUGCUUGCGGCGCGCGACAAAUGACAAAGGAAUGGGGCGAGCUUAAUGCAAAUUGACAUUUGGAAGCAUUAUUGGUGCAUUC